rnacentral:lncRNA from 1 species
AUGUGGCAAUACGUCUCCAUGCUGGCAAAGAGGAUGUACAGGAGCCACAGGCCCAGGAAGAGUGCAGUGGUGGAGAGCUUGGGUCCACGCGGGUUGCGUGGGUCACCGCCGAUGCGCUGCCAGCGUCGGUACAGCAGCACGGCGAUGCUCACGAAGGCGAAGUCGGUAAAGAGCAUGACGGAGAAGGCCAGCGUGCCUGUGCGCACCUCGAAGGGGCGGCCCUGCACAGCCCAGUACACAGCGGCCACCGACCAGGCCACGCCCAGGCCCAGGAACACGUUCACCGCGUUGGAGCCGGUCACGUUGCCAAUGGACGCAUCAGCGCACUGGUCCUGCAGCGCCGCCACUUUGCUGGCGAACGUGUCAGGGAUGGAGGUGCCCAGGGCCACAAAGACAACAGCGUUGACAGAGUCCUUGAGGCCAACGGUGCAGCCGAAGUGGGAAGCAAGGUCCCCAAUGAGGGAGGUUUGGCCAUGGCACCUUUCUGCUGUGCCUGGAAACCAUUUACCAGAAAGUGACGGGCAAGGAGCUGAGAUACGGCGGCCUGACGGGCAAACCCAGCAUCCUCACUUACCAGUACACAGAGGAGCUGCCCAGAUGACAGGAGGAGAGGUGAGGCUGGGCCGCCCCCAAUCCAGAAGCUCUAUGCUGUGGGGUAGGCUCUACUUCCCCUCCUCCAUCCCUUUCAUGAUGUCCCCUUCCCUCCCUCUCUUCUCUCACCCCCGUUUCCCUGUAUCUGAUUCACUCUUCUGCCCCGAAACUCUUCUCUGCUCCCUUUGCUUUGCAACACUGAGUUAGGGCUUUCUUCUUUUUCCUUUCCCGGUGUGGCUGCCCCUGCCAGGGAUAACCCUAUGCCUGUUGUGUAUGGUGCCAACCUGUUCCACCAAUACCUGCAGAAGGCAACACAUAACGGGGCACCAGAAUUAGGGGCUGGGGGCCCAUGGCAGCAACAGCCCUCAGCAAGCCAGAGCUGCAUCUCCAUCCUGAUGUGCAAGGGCAUGUACAAUCCCAGGGACCUGCAGUCCAUGGAGCCUGUGCUUGGCAGAGAGGAGCCUCCAUUCCAUGGGCACUGAGACUUCUGCUUCAGUUGAGGACUCAUGGAGGCCUCCCAUGUGGUGAAGGAUGUGAAUGAGGCUGUGCAGCUGGUCUUCUACAAGGAGGGCUGGGCUUGGGAGUGAGGGCAGUUUGGUGGAGGUGAGGGGUGAAGCCCUUUGGCUGGGCUCUGGCCCAUCACUGGGCUCAGGUCAGGGCUUGGUUCCCUUGCCACCCUUUCUGCUGCUUCAUGAGUGUGGUGUUACUGGUCACUUGGAAGAAGACAUGGCUCUUUUUCCCUGCUGGGUAGCAUUCUCUAUGUAACUGUUGGAAUUUUCUGGGCCCAGUUCCCAUGUGCCUCUCCUGGCAGUCUAACUUCGGGUCAGUAUCUUCACCCGUGUGCCUCAGUGUCCUUCUCAUUUCAGUAGGGACUUCUGGAAAGGGGGGGCAGUGUGGAAUACUGUGGACGACUCUGCAGAGCCUUUGCCAGCACUGAAUGAGUGUGACCAGUUGGCAGAGUAUCUAACACCAGAUUCUACUUUUCAUUGUAGUUUAUUACCCAGAGAUUUGGAGCUUAUUUUUCAAAAUUAAAAUAAUCAUGAUAAAUAUUCAUGAUGCCCUCUCUUGUGAAGCUCUGUCUGGAGUGCACUC